CCAACGACCACGGUUCCGUACACUGUGUGUGUGGGGUGUUAUGACGAUGUAAAACCGUGUGUACUGUGUGCUGAGUGUGUGUGUGUGUGUGUGCGCGAACGAUAAGAAAGGAAUUCCUGAACUCGUGAUAACCCCGGGCGUUGCGUUGCCAUCGGUGCGCUUCAGUACAGUGCUAGUGCUAGCUCGGAGACCAUCGUGCGUGUCCUGCAAGUACGUGUUUUGUGCCGUGUUCUGAGUGUCUGUCAGCUCUGAUGUAACAUAAAAGGUGAAGAAGUGCCAGCGAGUUCCAGUGUCCAGUUCUGAAGUGUAACAAAUGAAGAAAAUUGAAAAUAUUAAAAUUGAUUACGAUCCACGUUACCGGGUGUUACCGGGGGAAACGGUACCUCGAUUAGGCUGAACAGCCCGCCGCCGAGCCGAGUGUUUGAGAACCCGGGGCUCCACAGGUUGCUGCGCUGGUGCUGCUGUCAGCCCUUUCGUUCGGUGUGUAAUUUUAAGGUUAGGUGUGUCUACUCCGCCACGUUGGUGGUCUGCGAAUAAUGGCGAAUUGUGUGUGUGUGGUGUGUGUGAAGUGAACCAAGCCCUUUAGCCCCUCAGCAUUGAUCAGUCUCCAAGGGUCUCCAAGGGAGGGGGUUUGCGUGUUAGUCGGGUCUGGUCUGUCCAUUUGGCAAAAGGUCGGGCCCUGGCCCUAGUGCAUGUGUUCUAGUGUUUCGUGUGCCGUCUGACACACAUCCUGCGACGUCGUGUUACCGGUGUCAAAUCACCUCAUCUCAAGCUAGAGCUCAAGCACUACGUACGGCGGCCGCCUAUAUCGAAUAUCCGUUGGCGGACGUUACGGAGGCCCGCGUGGACAUCGACACUCGGACCGGCGUAAAGGUGCUUCUAGUCACACCGAAUGGUAAGCCGAGUGCGCGCACACGCGUCUCGACUUAGUUGAUGCUCGCGAGAAGCAGCAGCGAAACCGAGAAACGGAAGUGCCGCGUGCUACAUAUAUAGGCCGCUACGACGACGACGAGACCGCCACGGAGGAGAAGAUCUGGAUUUACGAGUGACGCGUCCUGUUCCAGUCACGGAACGGACCGAGACUUCAGAGCAUUCAAGCAGCAUCUAGAAGCAGAGUGUCAACGCACCCCGGAACAACAACUUCUCGCCAGACUCUGGCUCUAGUGUCGACCGAUCAGCCUUUGCCUUUGGUUCUAAGCACUUCGACAGUUCGUCACGUAGCAGAA